rnacentral:rRNA from 1 species
UCCGGGUUGAUCCCGCCGGACCCGACUGCUAUCGGAUUGAGAUUUAGCCAUGCGAGUCGAACGUCCCCCUGUUGCGGGGGGCGUGGCGUACGGCUCAGUAACACGUAGUCAACCUGCCCUGGAGACAAGGACAACCCCGGGAAACUGGGAUUAAUCCUUGAUAGGUCAUCUCAUCUGGAAGGAGAGAUGGCUUAAAGGGGUACGCGGGCUUCUUCCGCGAAUUCGCUCCAGGAUGGGACUGCGUCCGAUCAGGCUGUUGGCGGGGUAAUGGCCCACCAAACCUGUAACCGGUACGGGCCUUGAGAGAGGUGGCCCGGAGAUGGACACUGAGAGAAGGGUCCAGGUCCUACGGGGCGCAGCAGGCGCGAAACCUUCGCAAUGCGCGAAAGCGUGACGAGGUUAAUCCGAGUGACUCCCGCUUAGGGGGUCUUUUGUCAGCUGUAAAUAGGCAGGCGAAUAAGGGGAGGGCAAGCCUGGUGUCAGCCGCCGCGGUAAUACCAGCUCCUCGAGUGGUCGGGGCGAUUAUUGGGCCUAAAGCAUCCGUAGCCGGUUCCGUAGGUCCUCUGUUAAAUCCAACCGCUUAACGGUUGACCUGCAGAGGAUACCGCGGGACUAGGAGGCGGGAGAGGCGGACGGUACUCCGCGUGUAGGGGUAAAAUCCUUUGAUCCGCGGAAGACCACCAGUGGCGAAGGCGGUCCGCCAGAACGCGCUCGACGGUGAGGGAUGAAAGCUGGGGGAGCGAACCGGAUUAGAUACCCAGGUAGUCCCAGCCGUAAACGAUGCUAGCUAGAUGAUUCAUUCGCAAGUCGCGAAUGAAGUGUCGCAGGGAAGCCGUUAAGCUAAACGCCUCGGGAGUACGGUCGCAAGACUGAAACUUAAGGGAUUGGCGGGGGAGCA